rnacentral:rRNA from 1 species
GUACGGCGAGUGAAGCGGCAAAAGCUCAAAUUUGAAAUCCUUCGGGAGUUGUAAUUUGUAGGUUGGGAGACCCCGCGGCUAGUGGCACCAAGUCCCUUGGAACAGGGCGCCUUAGAGGGUGAGAGCCCCGUAGGUACCACAACACCGUCUUGUGUCUCCUCUCCAAAGAGUCGAGUUGUUUGGGAAUGCAGCUCAAAGUGGGUGGUAAAUUCCAUCUAAAGCUAAAUACCGGCGAGAGACCGAUAGCGAACAAGUACAGUGAUGGAAAGAUGAAAAGCACUUUGAAAAGAGAGUGAAACAGUACGUGAAAUUGUUGAAAGGGAAGGGCUUGCAAGCAGACACGGCCUUCGUGCCGGGCCAGCAUCGGUUGCUAGGGGUGGAUAAGGAACAAGGAAUGUAGCUCCUCGGAGUAUUAUAGCCUUGCGCGAUACACCCACUGGCGACCGAGGCCUGCG